rnacentral:rRNA from 1 species
GCCUAAAGGGGCCGUAGCCGGUUUGGUCAGUCCUCCGGGAAAUCUGAUAGCUCAACUAUUAGGCUUUCGGGGGAUACUGCCAGGCUUGGAACCGGGAGAGGUAAGAGGUACUACAGGGGUAGGAGUGAAAUCUUGUAAUCCCUGUGGGACCACCUGUGGCGAAGGCGUCUUACCAGAACGGGUUCGACGGUGAGGGACGAAAGCUGGGGGCACGAACCGGAUUAGAUACCCGGGUAGUCCCAGCCGUAAACGAUGCUCGCUAGGUGUCAGGCAUGGCGCGACCGUGUCUGGUGCCGCAGGGAAGCCGUGAAGCGAGCCACCUGGGAAGUACGGCCGCAAGGCUGAAACUUAAAGGAAUUGGCGGGGGAGCACAACAACGGGUGGAGCCUGCGGUUUAAUUGGACUCAACGCCGGACAACUCACCGGGGACGACAGCAAUAUGUAGGCCAGGCUGAAGACCUUGCCUGAAUCGCUGAGAGGAGGUGCAUGGCCGUCGCCAGUUCGUACUGUGAAGCAUCCUGUUAAGUCAGGCAACGAGCGAGACCCGUGCCCACUGUUACCAGCAUAUCCUCCGGGAUGAUGGGUACACUGUGGGGACCGCCGGUGUUAAAUCGGAGGAAGGUGCGGGCUACGGUAGGUCCGCAUGCCCCU